rnacentral:rRNA from 1 species
UACGGAGGGGGCUAGCGUUAUCCGGAUUUAUUGGGCGUAAAGCGCACGCAGGCGGCUUUUCAAGUCUGACGUGAAAUCUCUCGGCUAAACCGGGAGCGGUCGUUGGAAACUGAAGGGCUUGAGGCGAUGAGAGGGGUGUGGAAUUCCCGGUGUAGUGGUGGAAUGCGUAGAUAUCGGGAGGAACAUCAGUGGCGAAAGCGGCACCCUGGCAUUGGCCUGACGCUCAUGUGCGAAAGCGUGGGGAGCGAACGGG